GAAAGCCGUAUGAUGGGAAACUAUCACGUACGGUUUGGGAAAGGAUUUUUAACUAAUGACUUUAUGUUGGGGUUAAUCUUCUAUUUCAC
rfam:Rhizoctonia solani isolate BBA 69670 genome assembly, contig: RSOLAG22IIIB_scaffold01963